rnacentral:rRNA from 1 species
ACGAACGCUGGCGGCAUGCCUAACACAUGCAAGUCGAACGAGACCUUCGGGUCUAGUGGCGCACGGGUGCGUAACGCGUGGGAACCUGCCCUUAGGUUCGGAAUAACUCCCCGAAAGGGGUGCUAAUACCGGAUAAUGUCUUCGGACCAAAGAUUUAUCGCCUUUGGAUGGGCCCGCGUUGGAUUAGCUAGUUGGUAGGGUAAAAGCCUACCAAGGCGACGAUCCAUAGCUGGUCUGAGAGGAUGAUCAGCCACACUGGGACUGAGACACGGCCCAGACUCCUACGGGAGGCAGCAGUGGGAAUAUUGGACAAUGGGCGAAAGCCUGAUCCAGCAAUGCCGCGUGAGUGAUGAAGGCCUUAGGGUUGUAAAGCUCUUUUACCCGGGAUGAUAAUGACAGUACCGGGAGAAUAAGCUCCGGCUAACUCCGUG